rnacentral:lncRNA from 1 species
GUUUCCCAGAGCUGCCUCUAUAACACGAUAGGAAACAAAACUGUGGUUUUGACUCGUUGCUUGUUUAAAGAUUUGUUAACCAAGUCACAGCUGCACAGACAAAUACUUUUUCUGACUUCCACCUCUGUAAGGACAGAAGGCUUCUUGGGAUUCAAUCUAAAGGCAAAAGAGCAACACGAGACCGUGAUUCAAGGACAAGAUGAAGGGAUGUAUGACGCCAGGACAAAGACUGUGACUACUCUGGCACAGCAGUAGCAAACUUUGACAGUGAUCCAGGAAGUUGAACAAUUACUUAAGGUGAAGCAUAUCACUGGUGCAGCUAUCAACGGAGCCAUCCACAUUUUUUCAACAACAAAAAAUAUGAAGCCAUUUCCAGUCAGUUCCCUCCUGUCCUGCAUUUGUGGCCCAGUCUUUCCUCUGUUUAAGUCAAUCAGGACGUAUUCAUUGACUUAAACUGGAGCAGAUGAAGUUCUUCAACUUGCACAGGCUAAGAAGCCGGAGAGCUGAAUGUUUUCUACGAGCCAAGAGGAUUCAGUUGCAUCCCAUUUACAGGAUGAAUAGGAUUCAGUUUCAUCCGAAAGGAGCCUGGGUCAUCCAGACCGCACAGCAGUGAGAACAAAAGCACAGAAAAUGGGAACCAUUGGGAGACUGGCCUCUAAAGCACCUACAACCCUGACUACAUCUGUGAUGGCGACAAGCUCCCAGUGGGUCACAAUAAAUACCCAGUGGCAAUGGAGACAAGUGGGUGGAGUAUAAGAGUGCCUGGAGUUAACAUAAUGAAACUGAAUCCUUUUCUUGAACAAGAAGUGAAAUAAACUUUAAAUCAAAGUCUCCAUUAAGGCCCCUUCUGCAAGAUGCUACUUUCAGUUUCUGAUAAUCAUUAUAAAUGGAGCAGAUUGGAAAAACUCAAAUGGAUCCAAUAUGAAAAGCCUCGCUGCCUCCAGUCACUGCAGGGGGAGAGGAAUGCAGCCCCACUUACCUCCAAACUCAUUUUGGUCUUCCUACACCCCGACAGUAAAAUACAUGUGGAAAACCAGAAAUGCUGUGAGGUGAUGACAAUUACCUGAAGAUAUGAAGAUGAGCAGUGAACAGACCAGAGAAGAGAAGUCAGGUGUGGAUGGCCAGGCCACACCAUACUUCUGUACUCAUUAAGAAAAUAAAUAAACUCUUAGUUGGAUACAUUAAAAAAGAGUUGGUGGUUUCCAGCUGCAACUCACUUUAGUUCUUUAAAAUUAUCCUUGCGUUUCUGUUUAAGAAUUUACCUUGAGGAGGGAUGGGAAUCUGCUGCAUGCUACCAUCUGUCUUUCCUUAGAAAUACAGCACAAUAAAAGUGAGAUUGUCUUGUCUCUUUUAUAAGGUUAGUAAGAAAGCUUUGAUUGCUUCUUCUCUUAUUCACUAGAAAUUUAUAGUAAGAUGUUAUAUUUUCCUUUUGUCUGUUUGCCACAACAUCUGAGCUGUGUGUGAAAGACUGUGCCCUGUGGAUGAGAAGGUGCUUCACAGAGAGCAGCUUCAGUGAGCCAACUUAUUCACCAUGGUUCAAAGAUGGAAACUCCCCUCCAUUCUCAGAAUUUUGGUGCUUUUUGUUAUAUUCUGGGAUACUGUUGUGGUUAUAGCUUACUUCUGCCCCUUCUCCUGAAAUGCCCAAAUUUCUGUGAUGUGAGUUUUGUUCUACUUUUAGGAUGCCAAGUGGAAGAUUAUUCUAUUUCACUUUUGAGUCCUUUCCUGUUAUUACCUCAAACAUCGACAACAAAUUUUUCAGCCUUUCCCUUUUCUGAAGCAGUGGUGACAAAGUUCCUCUUUCUUUCCCCUUCUUCUUUUUCUUUUAAAACACAAAGAAACAAAACAUUCUCCAGAUGUUUUGUGAUCUAAUCCCUUAUUAACUUUGGAAAGAUCCUUUCUACCACAGGGAUCAGAUUCAUUAAUCUAUGGCUUCCUGACUCCUCUCCUACAGUAUUUCCAGGAAUGCAGAUACCUAUUUUGGCAUGGAAUCUGUAUUCCAUGAGCACAAACCUUCAAAUAUAUCUAUUUAC